UCUGCAUGCCCACACCCUACACACACUCC
rnacentral:piRNA from 1 species